GCUAUUGUGGCAUAGUGGUUAGAGCGUCCGCCUCGGAUGCAGGAGGUCGUGGCUUUGAUCCCCGGCUGAGCCAUACCA